AUUGAACGCUGGCGGCAGGCCUAACACAUGCAAGUCGAACGAGUGGCGGACGGGUGAGUAAUGUCUGGGAAACUGCCUGAUGGAGGGGGAUAACUACUGGAAACGGUAGCUAAUACCGCAUACCAUCAGAUGUGCCCAGAUGGGAUUAGCUUGUUGGUGGGGUAACGGCUCACCAGGGCGACGAUCCCUAGCUGGUCUGAGAGGAUGACAAGCCACACUGGAACUGAGACACGGUCCAGACUCCUACGGGAGGCAGCGGUGGGGAAUAUUGCACAAGGGGCGAAGGCCUGAUGCAGCCAUGCCGCGUGUAUGAAGAAGGCCUUGGGGUUGUAAAGUACUUUCAGCGGGGAGGCGUUACCCGCAGAAGAAGCACGGGCUACUCCCGUGCCAGCAGCCGCGGUAAUA
rnacentral:rRNA from 1 species